rnacentral:rRNA from 1 species
AGAACGAACGCUGGCGGCGUGGAUAAGACAUGCAAGUCGAACGGGGCAGUUUGGUAGUAAUAUCGAAUUGUUCAGUGGCGAACGGGUGCGUAACACGUGGAUAACAUUCCGGAAAGUGAGGGAUAGCCCAGGGAAACUUGGAUUAAUACUUCAUGUGGUCGCAAGACUAAAGCCGCAAGGCGCUUUCUGAUUGGUCCGCGGCCUAUCAGCUAGUUGGCGGGGUAACGGCCCACCAAGGCAACGACGGGUAGCUGGUCUUAGAGGACGGCCAGCCACACUGGAACUGAGACACGGUCCAGACACCUACGGGUGGCAGCAGUCGAGAAUCUUUCACAAUGGGGGCAACCCUGAUGGAGCGACGCCGCGUGGAGGAUAAGGUCUUCGGAUUGUAAACUCCUGUCAUGCGAGAACAAAGCCUUAUGGGUCUGAUAGUAUCGCAAGAGGAAGAGACGGCUAACUCUGUGCCAGCAGCCGC